rnacentral:rRNA from 1 species
UACGAGGGGGGCGAGCGUUGUUCGGAAUUAUUGGGCGUAAAGGGUGCGUAGGCGGUUUGGUAAGUCUUAUGUGAAAUCUACAGGCUCAACUUGUAGUCUGCAUGAGAAACUGCCGGGCCUGAGUAUGGGAGAGGUAAGUGGAAUUCCGAGUGUAGAGGUGAAAUUCGUAGAUAUUCGGAAGAACACCAGUGGCGAAGGCGACUUACUGGACACAUAUUGACGCUGAGGUGCGAAAGCGUGGGGAGCAAACAGG